CAGAGGAUGUGUGAGGAGGCAGGAUGCUGCUUCCGUUUACAGUGUGGCAGAGUUGAGCGCAGGGACUGUAAGGUGGCAGGAUUGAGCGCAGAGAUGUGCUUGGAGCCGAUGUGGACUUCCAGACAAAAUGGAAGAAAUUCCAGAACUUGCGUAAAUGCUUGAAAAAAAAGGAUUGCACAGUCAAGCUCUCCUGUAAGUCUUGGAGGUUGAAAGCAACAGUUAGGAACCGGGAAAGGAGACCGCUCCUGUAAAGCAGCCUGGAAAAGCAAAGUCAAUAUCAGACAGCACGGGUCCAAGUAGGGACACUCUGGCCAUCUUGUUAGCUGAUGGGGAACCUGUGAUCGCACUACUGAGUCCCGAUGAAUUUAGAUCCUGUGAUUGAUUUUAAAGAGGAUCUGUAGCCAACUCAAAUAAAAUUAGAUGUUACUGUCAUUAAAUAGCUUAGGUUGUCCUGGUCAUUUGCCUUUUUAGUUUGUCCACCAAUUCAGGAAAUCAGUCAGA